rnacentral:misc_RNA from 1 species
AUCUCUCACAAGACCGCUUGGUUUCAAACCGGGUCGGCCCUGUUGAAGUUGGAGGCUGCGAAGUCUGUCCCUCGAGCAAUCGGGGGAUUGUCGCUCCUCUCAAAUGUAUUGGUGCGGCCCGCUGCACGGUCUAUACAACGUUCUAGGUUCGUCCAACUCGUUGCUUGACCGCCUGCAUCUCUAUGGUCUGCUGCACCUAAAGCCCGCCUCGUGCCUCGUGCUCUUGGCUCACACUUCAUU